rnacentral:lncRNA from 1 species
GAGGAGGCUGUUGAAUGUCUGUGAGCAGGACAGAACAAAUUAUGGGGCUCCUCAGGCAGAAGUGUCCUGCUUUGGAUAAUUUAUAUGGCCACUCCUGUAAGAAAAGGAACAGAUUUUCAAAUCCUACUUCAUGUGGUUCCAGAAUCUCUGCUUUUUGCCUCUUUCUCAUCCUCUGUGAGUGCAAUUGUGGCUUUCCUCAUCAGGCGCUGGGCAGUAGCCCUGGGUGAGGUAGGAGGAUGUGGGUCCUGGACGAUAAACGGCUGCUCCCCAGAACCUAGAGCACUUCCGCAGCAGGGAGAGAAUUUCACAGCUCAUUGACUGCUCUGACUCCUAAUCUACACCGAGGAAACAAUGUUGCAGCUCAUCAAAUGCAAUCAGCUGCUAAUUGAAAGGAAAUGGAAUUUUACAAUUACAGGCCACCUUUCAGUGCUCAGGAUUUCUAAGCACUUCUCCCCACCUUCCUUUGCCAGCUCAGCACUGGCAGGAGCACUUGACAACCUGCUAGAGACUUCCCUAAAAGCUGCAUUUAGGACCUGGCCCGUUCUCCCCAGCUCCAGAGCAGCAGCAAAGGGAAGCAGCGUCCUCGCCAAUACCUGGGCUGUCCUUCAAGGCUCAGUGCAAGGAAAAACACCUGGGUUGGACAUCAGGUAGUGCUGACUUCCAGACCACUGAGGUCACCUGCAUAAGCGAGUCUGGCAACAAAUAAUCGUCUUCCAGAAAAUGACCAGAAACUCAGCCUGCUUUUUGUCAUUUCACCAGCCCCACCAUCUUUCCUUUAUUCUAGAGCUCCUGGCACACUUACAUGAAUCUCUUGAAAGAAGAGAAAUGAGAGCAUUCAUUCCAUACUAAUACAAUUGUGCCCUAUGGAAAGGCUUUUUGCUGGCAGACAUAGUAGACGGACCAUUUCCCAACUUCUUUUUCUUUGCCACCUUCCAGCCAAAGGUGUCCAUAUGACACAGCUCUGGACAGGAUAAUUGGAAGUCUGUUGUGGGAUUUCUGAGAAAGCUUUUGAUUUUCUGACAGAGACAUUUUUGCUUCCCCUUACCACUUCCUACUGGAUUACAGAUGUGAUGGAAAGAGCUGCAGCAGCCAUAAUACAACCAUAAAGGAGAGGAGAAGAGAAUUGCAAAGGCAUCAACCCACAUUGAAUUGAACUGCUAAGUUAACACUAGCAGUUACUUGCCUCCAGAUAUCUUGGUGUGUGAGAACAUUAAAU